UGGGGAAUAUUGCACAAUGGGCGCAAGCCUGAUGCAGCCAUGCCGCGUGUAUGAAGAAGGCCUUCGGGUUGUAAAGUACUUUCAGCGGGGAGGAAGGUGUUGAGGCUAAUAACCUCAGCAAUUGACGUUACCCGCAGAAGAAGCACCGGCUAACUCCGUGCCAGCAGCCGCGGUAAUACGGAGGGUGCAAGCGUUAAUCGGAAUUACUGGGCGUAAAGCGCACGCAGGCGGUCUGGCAAGUCGGAUGUGAAAUCCCCGGGCUCAACCUGGGAACUGCAUUCGAAACUGGCAGGCUAGAGUCUUGUAGAGGGGGGUAGAAUUCCAGGUGUAGCGGUGAAAUGCGUAGAGAUCUGGAGGAAUACCGGUGGCGAAGGCGGCCCCCUGGACAAAGACUGACGCUCAGGUGCGAAAGCGUGGGGAGCAAACA
rnacentral:rRNA from 1 species